GAGAGAGAGCUCGACACAGGAGGUAGAGAGAGAGAGAGAGCUCGACACAGGAGGUAGAGAGAGAGAGAGAGUUCGACACGGGAGGUAGAGAGAGAGAGUUCGACAGGGGAGGUAGAGAGAGAGAGUUCGACACAGGAGGUAGAGAGAGAGAGUUCGACACGGGAGGUAGAGAGAGAGAGUUCGACACAGGAGGUAGAGAGAGAGAGAGAACUCGACACGGGAGGUAGAGAGAGAGAGAGCUCUACACGGGAGGGAGAGAGAGAGAGAGAGAGCUCGACACGGGAGGUAGAGAGAGAGAGAGAG
ensembl:lncRNA